CUCUAUGGUCUGGGCCCUGGAAUGCUGAGCGCUGUCACCUAGUGACAUCACAGGCUGAGCUGUGGGUGUGGGGAGGCGGACCACCUACUGAAGCUGGAAUCUGGGGGCUGACUGAUUGGGCCAUCAGCAGGGGAGUCAGAGGUGAGAGGGCCCAGCGUUUUCUUGGCGGCGGACCUCCAGUGCUGACAGGACUUGGCGUUACGCCCGGACGGCUGCGUGGGGAAUAAUAUCUGCCAGAACUUGACCCCGCAGCCCCAGGGUUUGAAUCCCGCCCUUUAAAUCUUCAGCGCGUUCUGAGAAACAACACCAGUUACAUAAUUACAAAGAAUGCCUGGAUUAAACACUGAAAUAGCACGUUAAAAGGUUACGGAAUGGUCACGACCCGAACUCGGAGUGGAUCGCUUUCGAAUUCUCUGGCUUCUGGGCUUCCAUCCAUGACCAGACGAGCAACUUUCCAGGGUUCGAGAGGAGCAGAGACUGCUUCGUGGCACAGGUUUGACCUCGGAGAGCAGGAAGGAUUCUGCAUGGGUGCGCAGAACUACAGAGGAACAAGCAGUUACGUCUCCGACUGCAUUCAGACGGGCUACGGGCUGGAAGGGUGGGUGGUGGUGUUGUCAUAGAUUAGUUGAAGCAGAAAUAUUUGAGCUGCACGACGUCCCUUGUGAAGCCCUGCCAAAGGGAGCAUAUCGCCACGGACACCGUCUGAGUUCCCAGAAUCCUGUGGGGUCUCGGCCCACUUGCGUUCCACCUCUUAAAAAGGAGAAGUAAAAGGACGAUGUUGAAUCAUGACAGAAAUAUCACCUGGAGUUUUCAUACGAGGGUGCCAGUGAUCGAGGAGUCGCCUGGCUGUAACUGGGACCGUGGGCGUUAAUGUCCAAAUCAAAUUCGCCCGGGUGGUCUUUGCUAUUGUGGAUAAACUGGAUCCAUUUCACUGCUGAAUGCUGAUCGCAAUCAUCCUUCAGAUCCCCCGACCACUUUUAUUUGCAUUUAUUUUUACAGAGCAAGAGAAGCCACAGUACACUGGCUGUUUACAGACUUACGGCCUGGUUUUACUGUAAUGGCUAGGAAUUUAAAGAGAGAUGUUUUCACCCACUGAAACAUUACACUCAGCUGUUAUCAAUUUGUGCAGGACAUUUUGUGUGUGUGUGUGUGUGUGUGUGUGUGUUUCCAAUAAUGAAAUCUCACUCAACAGCUGUAGGUCUCCGACUCAAAAUAUUGCUGUCCGGCCAAGCACACCAGCACACUGCACUCUUUGUAGGCCAGGCUUUUUUUCUUUUUAAGAGAAAAUGAGAAACACUGCAAUAACUUAUUAUUUCUUUUUCUUUUAGAUUUGGUUAUGAUAAUAUGGAGAAUGUUGUGCAUGUUCAUAAUUAUGGCUUAAUUCCUCAGGUGCUCCACUUCCUCAUAUAGUUCCCAUUCCAUUUUUCAUUGCUGAAUAAGUGAAAUACAUUCCAGAAAACUGCCUGCCAUUUGCUUCAGUAGGAAAUAUUCUCCCAUUACUUGACCAUAUUAAUCUAGGUUUAGAAAAUAAUAAUAGCAGAACAUGAUGGAGAAUAAUAGAUGGUAGGAAUAAUAAUAAUAAUAAUAAUAAUAUGCUGGCAGUGUCUGAUCUCAGGUGGAGCUGAAGUGUGGAUCAGGUGCACAGCCUGGGCCCUGUUUGCACAACAAGUGUUUUGUGCAUUUCCCAGCAUUAUGCAGGGACAUGAAGUGUGCUUGCGUUUGUGUACACACACAGACACACAUCACAAACACACAAACACACGCAUACACACAAGCACAAACACACACACACACACACAAGCACAUACACACGAACACAAACACACACCCACUCUCACAUUCAUAUAAGGCUUAGCAUAUGUACACAUAUUAUUUUGUUAUACUGUAUUAAAUAUACACCUGAUAGAUGUUCGUUACAAUGGGUACAUUUAUAAAUUCUUGUCCAGCUACUCUCUAUCCCAGCGAUCUUUUUACUCAUUGGAUUACCCUUGGGGUAUUCUAGUAGUUUUUUUAUUGAGCGACUAAAAGUGCGUAUCCAUGACACUCCUGCAACGUUGCACCCAUAAACAGAACCAUAUGUGGCGGUUGCCGUGAUUUUAUACAUAGAAACAUUUCCUCACUCACUUUGCUCCAUACGUGUUACAACUUGAGGGGCAUUGUUGUAUCUACCCCCAGUCACAUCUGCAAAUGUGCGGUCGCCAUCUUCUUCGCUACCUCUGGCAUGCCCAGCUGUGUCUUACGUUCUGAGCUUUGUAUGAACUCACCAUCCAAAGGAAGUCAUUUGUGAAGCAGGAGACAAACCAAUGUGCAUCAUGUUUAAAUGUCUAAAAACAUGAGUUGUCAGUCUUGACGACCCUUAUCACAGUCCAACUGAUAUAGACUGGUAAAGACUGUUAAUUAUAAUUACAUAAAUUUCUGAGUAUAAAUUUACUAGAAUAAUUCUAUUCUUUGGCGUGAAACAACUGGUGUUUGGUUAUAUGUGAGGUGCUUUCUUCCUGAAUGUUAUUCAGCCCGUGCUUGGUUGAGAGCUAGUCUGUGGUUUCUGCUUUGCACAGUAUUAGAACGGUCAUCACAUGGAAAAUUGCAGCUUUGCGUCAGUGGUGUUGGUCUGUGGUAAGCUGUGCUGGAUGUACCUCAGAUUGGACACUGGUAGGUCUCGCCUUCAACUUUUCACACAGCUGUGUCAGUUAAAUCACGGGCUAUUUAAGCGUUUCCCGGACAUGACAUCUUGGUGUGGUGUACUGGGUAAAGAGUUGGGCUUACAGCCCAAUGGUUGUAGGUUUAGAGCCCAGAACUGGGAACUAAACCUGUCAUUUUUGUGCACGCUAUUUAAUGAUACCUUAACUGCUUUAGAAAAUAUCCAACUGCAGUGGUAGGUAAUACAUAUGCAUAAAUUCUUAGUUUCCUUAGAUAAGGUUGUGUGCUAUGCAACAAAAAAAUGUAUAAAUCAUUUAAGCAAAACAUUAUUACAGAUGGGCUCACUGUAUAGCGUUCAUACCGUUGGUAACUGAUUGAUAGUCAUCUUGGCAUUGUUCAAAAAGUGUUGUGUCAAAAAUAGCUGGAAUGUAUGAACACCUGGCAAUGGAACAGGUUUGUUAUUGCAUUGUGUUGAAGGUAACAGUUGUGCUCUCAUUUGAGAUGGUUUUGGGACAGGUGCUCUUACAGUAGGCCCAAAUGUUGAAGGGGUUGAGGUUAUGCAAACAAAGAUGCUCUGUACUAUCAAUUUCCUUUUACAGAACCGCAUUAAAGAGUUUUCACUCUGCUUUCGGACGGAAAGUGUAUGACUUGAACUUUGAUUCGAAAACCACACUGCAUGAGGCAUGCAAUGACAUACUGUACUGUAAUACCAUAGCAAUUUCAAGCAUGGAUUUGCCACAUUAAUAGUCUUUCCAAGCUUCACGGCAAAUGAGCAGCCUGUAUUUGCCAUGAAGUGUAUAGUAAAUAAUGACCCGACAUGCAGUAAAUGAAUUAAAAACCUCCAUGGACCAUAGGAGUGAUGCUACAAUUGCUUUAUCUUACUGUAAUGUGCAAUGAAAGCUUUCUACUUUGAUUUAAAUUAAAGCAGUUGCUUAAAUUGGUAGUGUAUUUGUUUUUUGGUUGAACAUACUAGUGGUAGUUGAUUUCAUGUAGUUGUAAAUAGCAUACAUUAUUUUGUUUUGUUAAGAUAUGAAUAUUUAAGUAUCGCUUUAUAUUUUUGCGAUGUCUCAGCGAAAGAGCAUAGACUUGGAGUCAUGUUUUAGUUUUUGUAGGGUGAUUGUGGUUGUGUUUAUUAGCUAUGCUAAUGACAAAUUAACAUAACAAUAAAAACAAAUACAAAUAAUAAUAUUAUUAAUAAUAAUAAUAAUAAUAAUAAUAUAGAUAAAAGUUAUGCCAAAAAUUACAAAAAUAUUUCCAUAGCUGCAAAUAUAUUUAGUCUAGUCUUAAUAAAUAGUCUUAGUGUCUGACAUUUGAGGAUUUAUGUCCUCUUUAUUAUGUUGUCUAAGUAUUGAAAAUUUUGCUGUAUUGCUGUGUAAAGCAUCUUUUAAACUCAAACUAUCUGGAACAGAAGACUCCUGUGGAAUUUCCUCUAACAAAGAAGGAAUUUUUAGGAGCGCUAUGGGCCUGAAAAUAUGGAGCGGUUUUACUGCGUGUACAAAUGAAACAAACUUCAAACUCCAAACUCCAGUUUGUAGAAACAUAAGUACUGUAGAGCUGGAUAUGCAGACUGUAAUAUCAUUUGACAACCCACACACUUCCUGAGACCUACUGUUGUUCACAGUUGGAUCAGUUUUAAAAAAGGUUAGAAAUUUCACUCCUGCAAUUACAGUGUUGUCUGCGCACGUGGGGGAAAACUAAAAUCGUUACUGUCAUAUAUAUAUAGUAGUAAUAAUGCUACAUAUAUAAAUGGUAAGCUCUAUGAUAUUUGGGACAAAUAUAUUUUUUCUUGAUUACGCUCUGGACUGUAUAAUUUUAGAUUAGUAAUUCAUAUGUGGUUAAAGUACAGAUUAUCAGAUUUUGUUAUUUAUCAUAAUGGCUUCAUUGGCUUUCAUUUGCACAACUCUGGUACGCAUGAUGACAAAUUCCAAUAACAGACUCCAAAGGCAAUGAAAAGCCUAGAACCAAGACUAGGUACUGAAAGCUCUCUUAUACCUGCACUAUAGAAGCAACUGAACAUAGCUGACUUAUCAGAAACACCCGUGAUACCAUUUGUCCAAAACAUUAUUGUACCCUGGAUGGGGGCAAUGUACUGCAUAAAAAGUGUUGUAAUUUCUACAUGGUGAAACCAAAGUGUAUAAAAAUACCCUUAAAUAAAAAUAGAAGCUGAGAAUGUGCUUUUUAACCACAUGUGAAUUGUUUGAGUACAAAUCUAAAAUAGUGAAGUACAGGGUCAAAUGAAGGAAAAAUAUGUAUUCGCCCCAAACAUUACUAUAUUUUUCUCUCUUUCUAGUUAAAUACUUGGAAUAUGUUAUACGUCCAACAUACCAUAGCAGCUAUAUGUAGACUGCCCACUGGUAGAUUCUAACUGCAGUUAUGAGGCUGCUGUUAAACUGUGCUCAAACUAAUGUUAUAGAGCAUGCCAAGCAGCCAUGCUGAAGAGAUAAUAAAUCUCAGCCAUGGAAACCAUAAAAAGGCAGUCGUCCCUAUCGCUAAUAGACAUAUUUCACUGCAGUGAGGUGACAUCCCGACCUGUUGUUUCUUCUUUUAUUUUUUAUUUUCUGAAGUAGCUGUCUUUGCUGUAAUGGUUACAGAUGAAUCUAAUUUGGCCCGUCUCCACUCAGAUCAGUCUCGGUCAGCUCUGAUGAAUGAGAGUGAAUUGGGGUGGGCUUUCAUUCAUCAUUAGCCUUGCAGUCAGAUGACAGUGGGGCCUGGGGUAUGUAGUGAAAUCACCCGCGGAUAGGCAGUAAUGACCCUCCCACACACACACACACACACCCCACGCACAUGCACACACACACUCACACACAAGUACAUGCACGCACACAUGCACACACACACACACACACACACCCACACACAGACCAUGCACACACACACAUACACGCAAGCACGCAUACACACAUGCAUGCACACACACACACACGCACACACAAAUCUGGAUUCACCUAUAAUCUAUUAUUGAAAAGUAACACGGUGAAUGUGCAACUAUUAUGUGAAAUAUGUGUCCGGGUGAACUACAAAUGAGCAAAUACUGUAGAACACAUUGACAUUUUUAGAACAAAUAUUGUAUAACAAAUAUAAGUUUCCAUUUAAAAACAUCAAAGGCUCAGUUAUGGAUAUAUUGUACAAACAUUUCAUGUUUUUUCGUAUGUUUAAAAUUCAUUAAUUUGAGUAUUGCACUCUGUUUAAAUAAUUCAGUGUGGAGCUGUUUAAAAAAAGAUACAAAUGUUAUUUAGACUGAGUGGAAAAGAGUCCAUAUGACAGUUUGGGUUGUGGUCUAACCAGAAAUAUUGUGAUAAAAAUAAAAAUGUCACAGCUGUGUUUUGUGAUCUGCAUAA